UUAUUAGGCAAAAAUAUUUACCACAGUAUACUGUGGAAGUACAAAUCUAAUAGCUCUAACAUCCAACUGACUCUAAUCUGUGUGGAUGGAAUUAUACUUAAUGAAGACUACACUCUUCCUACUAUUUAUGCUCUCAUUUUGUCAACAGUUUCUAGCUAGCGAUAUGUAUAAACAACAGAGCUAAGUUCUCCAUCAAGAUCUGCAACUAUCUUUUGUAGCAUUGGGUGAUCUCUUCCGGCUCGUAAAUGAUCAACAAUUUACUUCUCUUCAAGUUGAGAGGAUAGGUAUCAUGUUUGAAGAAUAGCUUCUGAUGAUGAAAAAGAUGACUAAAUAAGAGCACCCCAUAGAGUAGCAGGACUUUCGCUGCAUUUAGCGUGUACUUGCUUGAUUCUUUCGACUGAUUUGCAGAUUCCACUGCAG
rnacentral:misc_RNA from 1 species